rfam:Gossypium hirsutum cultivar TM-1 chromosome 19, whole genome shotgun sequence
AGGUUGAUGCCCGAGCGGUUAAUGGGAAUGGAUUAUAAAUUCAUUGGCAAUAUGUCUAUGCUGGUUUAAAUCUAGCUCAACCCA